rnacentral:rRNA from 1 species
CGGACCGGCGCACGGGUGAGUAACACGUAUGCAACCUGCCCUCUUCAGGGGGACAACCUUCCGAAAGGGAGGCUAAUCCCGCGUAUAUCGGUUUCGGGCAUCCGAGAUCGAGGAAAGAUUCAUCGGAAGAGGAUGGGCAUGCGGCGCAUUAGCUAGACGGCGGGGUAACGGCCCACCGUGGCGACGAUGCGUAGGGGUUCUGAGAGGAAGGUCCCCCACACUGGUACUGAGACACGGACCAGACUCCUACGGGAGGCAGCAG